rnacentral:rRNA from 1 species
CUUGGUGAUUUAAGCGGCGAGGGUACACCUGGUCCCAUCUCGAACCCAGUAGUUAAGUUCGCCAGCGCCGAUGGUACUUGGGGGCGACCCCCUGGGAGAGUAGGUCAUUGCCAAGA